rnacentral:tRNA from 1 species
GACGGUUUGGCCGAGUGGUCUAAGGCGCCAGAUUUAGGCUCUGGUCCGAAAGGCGUGGUUCAAAUCCCACAGCCGUCA